rnacentral:rRNA from 1 species
GACGAACGCUGGCGGCGUGCCUAAUACAUGCAAGUAGAACGCACAGUUUAUACCGUAGCUUGCUACACCAUAGACUGUGAGUUGCGAACGGGUGAGUAACGCGUAGGUAACCUGCCUGGUAGCGGGGGAUAACUAUUGGAAACGAUAGCUAAUACCGCAUAAUAUUAAUUAUUGCAUGAUAAUUAAUUGAAAGGUGCAAUUGCACCACUACCAGAUGGACCUGCGUUGUAUUAGCUAGUAGGUGAGGUAACGGCUCACCUAGGCGACGAUACAUAGCCGACCUGAGAGGGUGAUCGGCCACACUGGGACUGAGACACGGCCCAGACUCCUACGGGAGGCAGCAGUAGGGAGUCUUCGGCAAUAGACGAAAGUCUGACCGAGCAACGCCGCGUGAGUGAAGAAGGUUUUCGGAUCGUAAAGCUCUGUUGUAAGAGAAGAACGGGUGUGAGAGUGGAAAGUUCACACUGCGACGGUAUCUUACCAGAAAGGGACGGCUAACUACGUG